ensembl:lncRNA
CGGGUUAAUUAUAACCGGCCGGCUCGGGUGUCCCCGGCCUCGCCUCCUUACAAGGGCAGCCGCGGGCCCGGGAGGCGCCGGGCGCGCAGGGCAAGGGGGCUGGGUGGCGACUCGGGCGGAGCAGGAGCUACGGGCGCCUCGAGUGUGUGACCGAGUGUGUGACCAGGGGGGACCUCAAGGGCUGAAGAGGGGAUUCGGUGAAAGGGGGGCCUACAGGAAGCUGCUUCCUCCGCCUGGAAGGCGCCAAGAUUUCAGGACGAGCGAGCCCAGGGAGCCCCCAGGUUUGCAACCUAGAACAGAAAGCUCCUUUCCCUCUGGGGGUCCUCGCUCCUCCCGGGGUCUCCAUCUUUUCUGGCGCCUCCCGGGUCUCCCCCAUUUCUUCCCAGGCAAGUGGGGGCUGACCUGGGGAAACGGGGCUCUCUCUGCUAGAAUCUCCCUAGACUCCUGGUGGGGAGGGGGAUGCAGAGGAAACUUCUCCUUGGGGCCCAGACCCUGAGCUCUCCACCCACCUGUCCCUUCCCGGCAAGGUCAGAGUGGCAAAGUUCUCCUUCACGGUUAGGGAAGCUGAGGCAUGGAGAACUAAAAGGAAUUGGUCUGGAAUCAUAAUGCAUUUACCAUUUCACCAAUUAUUUAUUAAGCACUUACUGGAGACACAGCAGAACUCACCCCAAGUCACGGUAUGCUGUGAUGUCGGGGGCCAUAAGGGCUUUGAAGGAAAAUGAAAGAGGGUGACAGAUGAGUGAUGGCACAGCAGGGGAGGUCAGGUCAGGCCUCCGUGGGGAGGUGACAUCUGAGCAGAGACCUGAAGGAGAGGAGGGAGCCAGCCAUCUGGGGAUAUGGAAGGGGAACAGCAGGUGCAAAGGCCCUGAGGUGGGUGUGGCUUGGCAUAUCUGAGAGACAGGGAGGAGGCUGGAGGACUGGAGCAGAUGGGGCAGAUGAGAGAGCAGGAGGAAGAAGAUGAGGAUGGAAGGGGGACAGGAGGAGUUUCCAUGCCUCUGUGGGUGGGAUAGGAGCCCCUGACUGUUGUCAGCAGGGGAGAGACCUGGUGGGUGGCAUAGCCGGGCCCCCUGGACCCCUAAGAAGCCCUUGUGGGGACAUUUGACAUUCUUUCUGGCCACACAGUGUCAGAAGCCCUUUCUGUGUUUGGGGCGUUCCCACCUGAUGACAGCCUCCUUUGAAGAAGCCAACAAUGUCAAAAACUCCAUUUCCCAGGAUCCUUUGCAGCAACAGUCCAGUCAUGUGAUCAAGUUUCGGCUCUCCCAGAAAUGGAAUCCUGGGGCCGGCCCCGCGGCCGAGUGGUUGAGUUCACAUACUCUGCUUCAAUGGCCCAGGGUUUCGCCAGUUCGGAUCCUGGGUGCGGACAUGGCACCGCUCAUCAAGCCAUGCUGAGGCGGCGUCCCACGUGCCACAACUAGAAGGACCCACAACUGAAAAUACAACUAUGUACUGGGGGGAUUGAGGGAGAAAGAGUAGAAAAAAUAUAUAAAUAAAUAAAGACAAUUUUUUAAAAAUGGAACCUUAAACCCGUCCAUCAGGAACCGCCUGAUCAGCCCUCCCUCGGUGUCUGCUUGGCAGACCCCUGAUGUCCCCUAUCAGGGAAAGUGACCUGAGUCACCAAGCUGCCUUUUGGCCUAACACACCCUCCUCAUUCCUGCUCCCUUCUUGUAAGUCCUUCAUUUUGUCCUGCUCCUCGAAGCUCCUUUCUAUCGGCUAGAUCAGACGCUGCCCGAUUCAAAUCGAUUUUUGCUCAAAUAAAUUCUUAAAAUGUUUACCGUGCCUCAGUUUAUCUUUUAACAAUAUGUGGACAUCGUAUGGUGUGGGCCAUGCAGGGGAGGUCUUUCUCAUGCCGAGGCCAGGUCACAAAAGGAAAUGUUCAAGAUCGAAGCUCAGAACUGGCACGGCGUCCCUGGUGCCCCUCGGCCAUUGGCCAAAGCAAGUCGCAUGACCACACCCAGUGUCAAGGCCGCCGUCCCCUCUCCCUCCGUGGGUAAAGAUUUUUCUCAUUUCCGUUUUUCUUAAAUGGGCACCACGCUCACACAGCCACACACGAUUCAUGCCCUUGGGAUGCCUCUGGAAGGAUAUCAGAAAUGGGUCACGGGGGCCGGCCCGGUGGCGCAGCGGUUAAGUGCGCAUGUUCUUCUUCUUGGUGGCCCGGGGUUCACCGGUUCGGAUCCCGGCUGCGGACAUGGCACCGCUUGGCAAGCCAUGCUGUGAUAGGCGUCCCACGUAUAAAGUAGAGGAAGAUGGGCAUGGAUGUUAGCUCAGGGCCAGUCUUCCUCAGCAAAUAGAGGAGGAUUGGCAGGAGAUGUUAGCUCAGGGCUGAUCUUCCUCAAAAGAAAAAGAAAGAAAGGGGUCAUCAUGUUUGCUGGUGGGAGUGAUGUCUAGGGACCAAGGAGAGACUAGUCUUCUGUUCUCUGUGACAUUCUUUCUGACAGUGCAUUACUCUGUAAAUUAAACAAAGGCGGGGGGAGCUUUUUAAAAACUGGCCAAGAGGUGAAAAUCAAAAAGGCCCCAACCCAUCCGCCCGUUUUCCUGACACGGCAAACUGAGGUCCUCAGUGAGAGGACAGGAGUUUUGUUGAGUGCCUUCUUGGCUGUGGUCUGGGGCAAGGGAUUCCUCCUCUCGAGCCUCAGUUUCCCCAUCUUUAGUUGGGGCUAGCAAUAGUGCCUACCUC